UUUCAGAAGUCGUCAGAAAGUGUAGAUAAGAGAGAAAGUUUGAGACAAUCAAAGAAAGAAAAAAAAAGAAGAAGAACAGAAGUCCUCAGAAAAUGUAGAUGAGAGCGGAAAUGUAAGACAAUCGAAGAGCUGGAAAAAAGAACAAGAACAGGUGAAGUUGACUAUCAAGUUAAACAUGUUAAAUACUUUAACCGAGACUCUUGUCGAUAAAGAAUCAACCAAAAAGGCUGUAUGCCGAAAAAUGAAAGUGACAUCUGCCCCAAAAAAGGGUGACAUUGAAAAAACUAAGGUGAACAAAAGUAACCAUUUUCAAUAUAUGUGUAGGAUGACCAGAGGUAACCAAAGCCAAUUUAUGUGUGGGUGACCAGAGGUUGCCAUGUUUAAAAUAUAUGUAGGGCGACCAGAAGUAACCAUAGUCAAUAUCUGUUUAGGGUGACCAGAGGGUGACAAGAGCUAACCACAUUCAACAUCUUGGUAAUGGGACCAGAGAUUACCAAAUUAAACAUCUAAGUAGGGUAAAUAAAG